CUGAAAAGCAUCUCUGAUCGUGAGGAUCCAGAGACUAAUCAUGAGGGCCCAGUGACGUCAGAGCUGGAGAGGAGAUACUUUCAGAUGAACCAAUUAUCUGGCUUCAAGAUAUUUCAGAUGACUGAGAUACAACCUUUUUGAACAGGUUGCUUGAGAAGCUUUUGUGUCUGGACAAGACAAGGUUGAACAAUUACAAAAAAAGCAGCUGUUCUUUGGAAGGGGU